CCUGUCCAUACCGUCAGUUCCUCCCUGGAUUGCUCAGGAGCGCGCUUGCCACAGCUGGCCAACGGCCUCCGUCGCGGACGCCUGCGCCACCGCAGCUCCGGGCUUCCCCGGCGUGCGCGGAUCCCUUGGGUGGAUGCGGGCCUCCUUCCUGAGUUCACCGGUGUUCGAAGCGUGGCAACUGGUGGCCGGAGCCACCGGCAAACCUCGUCGGAGCCUGCUGCUCCCUCGGCUGCGCGCGGGCAAGAGCUGGAAGAAGGAGACGACCGGCCAGGCGGGCCCCACCGCCCGCGCGACCCCACCCGUCAGCCUCAGGCGUUGACUCUGUCUCCCCGGAUGACGUGGUAAGGGGAAACGUACAAUUCGAAGUACGUUUUCCGUUCGGAAAGCGUAUUCACGUGCUUCUUCAGAGAGGAAUAUGUUUCCUCUACUCCGAAGACGAGUUAUCUGAAUGUGUUUUUUAUUUUUCCAGCCAGGGGCCUGUUCGUAGAAGUUCUUUUUACAGAUUGGUCCCUGGAAUUCGUCUGGCUAUAUCUUUUCACCCGUAACUCCAAAUGAGGUGAUUCCAAAGCCCAUUUCUUUGUCUCGUUGAGCCCGUCAUGUUGGUAUCAUUUUCAUAAUGCUUUCACAUAGUGAAAAUGACCACUUUGCCCUUGCCCGUAAACAGCCCCCUCGGGAGAGAACUGUUUCCAGCGAAUCUUUCCGCGAUCCUUCUGUACUUCUUCCCGGUGACCUCACUACUGCAGGAUGCUGCUAACACGACACUACGAUCAGAGACCCUUCGACAAAACUAUGUGCUAUGCCAUAAUCGCAAACGGCGGUGUAAAAAACCGUCAAAAAGGUGCAAAACGUUUGCGAUGGAGGAUGCAUCAAACACGAUUCAGAUUUUAGUUGCGUGUCUGAUUCAGGGCAUAUGGUUCAUUUCAAUUAACCGUUUUCGAUGAGGAGGAACAAAAGAAACCGGCAGCCAGAUGAAGGUGUGUGCGAUGUACAACAUACGGUUCACUCGGAUGAACUGUUUGUGAUUAGGCAACACAAAAGAAACGGGCAGCCAGAUGAAGGUGUGUGCGGUAUGCAACAUACGGUUCACUCGGAUGAACUAUUUGUGAUUAGGUAACACAGAAAAAAUGGUCAGCUAGAUCAAGGUGUGUGUGAUGGAUGGCAUAUGCUUCAGAAAGAUUAACUGUUUGCGACUAGGCAACAGAACAGAAACGGGUAAGCCAAAUCAAAGUGUCUACGAUUGAUGGCAUACACUUCACAUGGAUGAACUGUUUGCAAUUAGCCAUAACAAACUGAAACGGUUAGAUAUAUCAACGUGUGUGCGCUAGACGGGCACAACCAUUCUAAUUAAAAGAAGCAUGCGCGAUGGUAAUAACGAGC
rnacentral:lncRNA from 1 species